rnacentral:lncRNA from 1 species
AUACUGUCUUGGAUGCACUGGAAUCCACAUCAGGAUGCCCUUUAAGGUUCUCCUUUCCUCACGAAGAAUGAAAUAAGACAAUUCAGAAAUGGUGUCAAAAGUUUAUUUGAAAAAUGGGGGGUGAAUGAGAGAAACCUGCUCUACAGAGUGAACUUGGGCAGAACAAGAGAAAAAGGUCAUACCUCAAACCUCUGAACCAACCUAUGAAAAAUACCUCAGCAAGCAGGGAAAACAGUACAGCCAAAC